GGGGAGGUCUGCGGUGGCGCAUAGGGAAGCGAAGGGGCCGCUCUUCCCAGCCCUUGCCCCUCGGGACCCCUGUCUCUCCCCCUCCCCCGGGACUCACCCCGCAUUCCCACGAGCGCUGCUCCCGCGCCUCCAUCCGCCAGGCCGCCUGAGCUGAGCUCCCUUGGAAGGGCUGGCCGAGCCGCCCCCGCCCUCCCGACUUUUCCCAUCGCGGCAGCAGCAGCUUUCAGACUCUACAAGCUAGUAUGCUGACAUGGGGAUUCUGGAAGCUGUGGUCUCCAAAAGUAAAGCACUUCCAUGAUUAAUUGGAGAAGGGGAAUUCUUCCCUUGGUGGAAGUGAAGGCAUGCUUUAUGGACCCUAAAUUUUGAGUGAAGAAAUAUCUCUCACUUCUCAUUCCCUUCCCCCUGUAUCUUAGAAUAUAAAUGGAAAAUAGUAAUACAGAGUCAUUUGCUUACCUGAUUAGUGAGGCUUUAACAAUGUAAGGAAAGGGUCAGAUGACAUUUUCAAGAAAGUGGGACAAAACAGUGGAGGAGGAG
rnacentral:lncRNA from 11 species